rnacentral:antisense_RNA from 1 species
CUGCCCCUGCCUUUGGGGGUCGACCCUUGUACUCGCAGGACCUUAGGUGACUCUAUUCUACUUCUCUGAUCAUCCAGGAAACCAAUCUGCCUGAGGACGAGUCAUACUCUGUCCUCCCACCCCAGGCUAGAGAGUGGUAUCUGUCUUUCCACAAGUUGGAUCUGAAUGAUGCAGUGUUGCAAUCCCAUUUUAUAAAUGAGGCAACCAAAACUCAAACAGGACCAUAUUGUGACUGAAACAAGGCAUAACAGGUCUUUGACUAGCUAUCCUGUGGGUGUGGCCUCAGGGUAGCCUGCAGAAAGUGGUGAGCAAGGUGGUUGGGAAAAUCAAAGGAGGGGGUAAGGUAGUGGCAGGUAACUAUCGAUAAUCUGCUCUUCUUCACAGAAAGACAGGCAAUUAGAUUGAAAAAUACCUGUGAUUCAAAGAAGUCACAAGUCACAGAGACAAACUUUUCCCAGUGUGUUCGAGUCAGAGAACCUUUGCAAAGACCAACAGGCUAAAAGAGAAAAUACAGUGUCAUAUGGAGAAGCUUUGAGAACACUAUGCUAAGUGAAAGAAGCCAGACACAAA